rnacentral:rRNA from 1 species
AUGGCUCGGAGCAACCCGGGGCUUCUCCUAGGGCUGCUUCUGCUGCGGCUCAAUUGGUGCUUGGGCGUGGAUGGCGGAGGCGCGGAGGAAGGGGGCGGCGUGUUUCCGGUGGUGGUGAGCACCUGGCCGUUCCGGGAGGCGGUCAGGGCGGCGUGGGACGUGGUGAAAACCGGUGGCGCAGGGGGGUCGGCUGUGGAUGCCGUCGUCGCCGGCUGCUCCGCCUGCGAGGAGCUCCGCUGCGAUGGCACAGUUGGUCCAGGUGGAAGUCCAGAUGAGGAUGGUGAAACUACCUUAGAUGCUCUUAUCAUGAAUGGGAAAACAAUGGAAAUUGGAGCUGUGGCUGCCAUGAGAUAUGUGAAGGAUGCAAUUAUGGCAGCAAAGUUGGUCAUGGAGCACACCGGGCAUACUCUUCUUGUUGGAGAGAAGGCGACAUCCUUUGCGAUUUCAAUGGGUCUUGCAGGACCAACUAACCUGAGUUCACCAGAGUCAAUUGAGAAAUGGUCAAAUUGGAGACAGAAUAAUUGCCAACCUAACUUUUGGAAAAAUGUUGCUCCUGCUGGCAACUGUGGUCCAUACCAUCCUAUAAAUAUACCUAAGGACCCUGUUAAAAGUGCUGUAUGGGAGAAUCAAGGAAUCACUUGUCAGGAAUGGCUCGAAAAUGAUAAUUUACUAGAACCGACAAACUCCCAUUUCAACUCUGUUAAUCGCCACAACCAUGACACAAUCUCUAUGGCCGUCAUUGACAAGAUGGGUCAUGUAGCAGUUGGCACAUCAACUAAUGGUGCUACGUUCAAAAUUCCAGGAAGGGUAGGUGAUGGACCAAUACCAGGAUCUUCUGCAUAUGGUGAUGAUGAAGUUGGGGCUUGUGGAGCUACUGGUGACGGUGAUAUUAUGAUGCGCUUCCUUCCAUGUUAUCAAGUAGUAGAGAGCAUGCGACUUGGAAUGGAGCCUCGAGAUGCUGCUGUGGAUGCUAUAUCAAGAAUUGCUCGUAAGUACCCAGAUUUUGUUGGUGCUGUAUUUGCGCUUAACAAGAAAGGAGUGCACGCCGGGGCGUGCCAUGGUUGGACCUUUCAGUAUUCUGUCAGGAAUUCCAGCAUGCUGGAUGUGGAGGUCAUCACAGUAACACCUUAA